UACGUAGGGGCAAGCGUUGUCCGGAAUCAUUGGGCGUAAAGAGCGUGUAGGCGGUUCGGUAAGUCGGCUGUGAAAGUCCAGGGCUCAACCCUGGGAUGCCGGUCGAUACUGCCGGACUAGAGUUCGGAAGAGGCGAGUGGAAUUCCCGGUGUAGCGGUGAAAUGCGUAGAGAUCGGGAGGAACACCAGAGGCGAAGGCGGCGACCUGGACAAGUACUGACACUCAACUACGAAAGCGUGGGGAGCAACAGG
rnacentral:rRNA from 1 species